UAGGGAAUCUUCGGCAAUGGGGGGAACCCUGACCGAGCAACGCCGCGUGAGUGAAGAAGGUUUUCGGAUCGUAAAGCUCUGUUGUUAAGGAAGAACGAGUGUGAGAAUGGAAAGUUCAUACUGUGACGGUACUUAACCAGAAAGGGACGGCUAACUACGUGCCAGCAGCCGCGGUAAUACGUAGGUCCCGAGCGUUGUCCGGAUUUAUUGGGCGUAAGGCGAGCGCAGGCGGUUAGAUAAGUCUGAAGUUAAAGGCAGUGGCUCAACCAUUGUAGGCUUUGGAAACUGUUUAACUUGAGUGCAGAAGGGGAGAGUGGAAUUCCAUGUGUAGCGGUGAAAUGCGUAGAUAUAUGGAGGAACACCGGUGGCGAAAGCGGCUCUCUGGUCUGUAACUGACGCUGAGGCUCGAAAGCGUGGGGAGCGAACAGGAUUAGAUACCCUGGUAGUCCACGCCGUAAACGAUGAGUGCUAGGUGUUAGGUCCUUUCCGGGACUUAGUGCCGCAGCUAACGCAUUAAGCACUCCGCCUGGGGAGUACGACCGCAAGGUUG
rnacentral:rRNA from 1 species